rnacentral:rRNA from 1 species
GAUGAACGCUAGCGACAGGACCUACACAUGCAAGUCGAGGGGCAGCACAUGAGUAGCAAUACGAUGGUGGCGACCGGCGCACGGGUGAGUAACACGUAAUGCAACCUGCCUUCUACUAUGGGAUAACCCGUUGAAAGAACGGACUAAUACCGUAUAAUACAGGGGCUCCGCAUGGAGUAUAUUUGUUAAAGAUUUAUUGGUAGAAGAUGGGCAUGCGUAUGAUUAGAUAGUUGGUGAGGUAACGGCUCACCAAGUCAACGAUCAUUAGGGGUUCUGAGAGGAAGGUCCCCCCACACUGGUACUGAGACACGGACCAGACUCCUACGGGAGGCAGCAGUGAGGAAUAUUGGUCAAUGGGCGGAAGCCUGAACCAGCCAUCCCGCGUGAAGGAAGACAGCCUUACGGGUUGUAAACUUCUUUUCUGUUUGAAGAAUAAGCCCGUUGAGACGGGUGAUGCCGGUAGGACAGGAAUAAGCAUCGGCUAACUCCGUG